GUUUGCAGCCAGGUGUUUUACCAGUCGGGAGCACCCCAGCUCCUCUUGCCUUUCCCCAGCACUACUCUACCACAGGUACCCUUCUCAGC